GUUUAUGUUUUCUCUAUGCAUGUUUAUGUUUUCUCUAUGCAUGUUAUGUUUUCUCUAUGCAUGUUUAUGUUUUCUCUAUGCAUGUUUAUAUUUUCUCUAUGCAUGUUUAUAUUUUCUCUAUGCAUGUUUGUUUUCUCUAUGCAUGUUUAUGUUUUCUCUAUGCAUGUUUAUGUUUUCUCUAUGCAUGUUUAUAUUUCUCUCUAUGUAUGUUUAUGUUUUCUCUAUGCAUGUUUAUGUUUUCUCUAUGCAUGUUUAUAUUUUCUCUAUGCAUGUUUAUGUUUUCUCUAUGCAUGUUUAUGUUUUCUCUAUGCAUGUUUAUAUUUUCUCUAUGCAUGUUUGUUUUCUCUAUGCAUGUUUAUAUUUUCUCUAUGCAUGUUUAGGUUUUCUCUAUGCAUGUUUAUAUUUUCUCUAUGAU
ensembl:lncRNA